UGAGACCUGAUGCCGAGCCGAUUGUGGUGAAGUGGAUGAUCCUAUGCUGUCGAGAAAAGCCUCUAGCGAGUUUCAUGGCGGCCCGUACCCUAAACCGACUCAGGUGGUCAGGUAGAGAAUACCGAGGCGUUCGGGUGAACUAUGGUUAAGGAACUCGGCAAAAUGCCCCCGUAACUUCGGGAGAAGGGGGGCCACAACCGGUGAUGAGUCUUGCACUCUGAGCUGGGGGUGGCCGCAGAGACCAGCGAGAAGCGACUGUUUACUAAAAACACAGGUCCGUGCGAAGCCGUAAGGCGAUGUAUACGGACUGACGCCUGCCCGGUGCUGGAACGUUAAGGGGACCGGUUAGUCACAUUUCGGUGUGGCGAAGCUGAGAACUUAAGCGCCAGUAAACGGCGGUGGUAACUAUAACCAUCCUAAGGUAGCGAAAUUCCUUGUCGGGUAAGUUCCGACCUGCACGAAUGGCGUAACGACUUCUCGACUGUCUCAACCAUAGGCCCGGUGAAAUUGCACUACGAGUAAAGAUGCUCGUUUCGCGCAGCAGGACGGAAAGACCCCGGGACCUUUACUACAGUUUGAUAUUGGUGUUCGGUUCGGCUUGUGUAGGAUAGGUGGGAGACUUUGAAGCGGCCACGCCAGUGGUUGUGGAGUCGUCGUUGAAAUACCACUCUGGUCGUGCUGGAUGUCUAACCUCGGUCCGUGAUCCGGAUCAGGGACAGUGUCUGAUGGGUAGUUUAACUGGGGCGGUUGCCUCCUAAAGAGUAACGGAGGCGCCCAAAGGUUCCCUCAGCCUGGUUGGCAAUCAGGUGUUGAGUGUAAGUGCACAAGGGAGCUUGACUGUGAGACCGACGGGUCGAGCAGGGACGAAAGUCGGGACUAGUGAUCCGGCGGUGGCUUGUGGAAGCGCCGUCGCUCAACGGAUAAAAGGUACCCCGGGGAUAACAGGCUGAUCUUCCCCAAGAGUCCAUAUCGACGGGAUGGUUUGGCACCUCGAUGUCGGCUCGUCGCAUCCUGGGGCUGGAGUCGGUCCCAAGGGUUGGGCUGUUCGCCCAUUAAAGCGGUACGCGAGCUGGGUUUAGAACGUCGUGAGACAGUUCGGUCCCUAUCCGCUGCGCGCGCAGGAACAUUGAGAAGGGCUGUCCCUAGUACGAGAGGACCGGGACGGACGAACCUCUGGUGUGCCAGUUGUCCUGCCAAGGGCAUGGCUGGUUGGCUACGUUCGGAAAGGAUAACCGCUGAAAGCAUCUAAGCGGGAAGCCUGCUUCGAGAUGAGUGUUCCCACCUCCUUGAGAGGGUAAGGCUCCCAGUAGACGACUGGGUUGAUAGGCCAGAUGUGGAAGCCCGGUAACGGGUGGAGCUGACUGGUACUAAUAGGCCGAGGGCUUGUCCUCAGUUG
rnacentral:rRNA from 1 species